rnacentral:lncRNA from 1 species
CUUCCUUUAUAAUGUUUUUAAGUCACAUGGCAUGCUUGUCGCUUUAAUUAAUAACAGAAAUCUAAUAUUCAUUAAUAGUUUUUUGACAAGAAUUGUCCACUUUAUUUGAAGUUCAACUAUAAAGAUUUAUUGUUUACCAUUUUCAAAUACAUGGCCAAAUAAAGAUUUUUUUUAGAAACAACAAUAUACUCAUUAUAUUCUCAUCAAGUGGGGUCUAGGUUAAGUAUAUACAGUCAAUAUCACUACCUCAGUGGUGAGGUAGAAAUGAUAUUUUUGAUAGACUUUCGACUCAAGAUAAAAUAAGCUAGACAAGAAAUAGUAAAAGAAUACGAUACACUAUUUCAUUGACUUCCUCGUCAAACUCCAAAUUUUGUUCAAACCUUUGAGACUGCAAUAUUUGAAUUCUAGCCCUGACUGCUUUACCCAUAUGGGGAUUAUAUACAAUUCCUCUCUCGUGAAUUCCAUAGUAGGAUGUCAGGGUUUCACUAUUAGGGGUUUAUUGUCAAAGUGGUAUAUUCCACCAUGGACCUUGUACUUUCCCAGUCUAGUAACAAACUGUACUAGUACGAUUCCAUUUUUCAGCAUUGAAAUUUUGUUAAUGUCAUGCAUCCCCAUUACUGAGAAUGAGGGGUGAGCCCCUAAUACAUAACAUACCACUGCAUGCAUCCAGUACUCAAUUGCGUGCUUAUCAUCUCUUCAACUUCAAUCUCACGGAUCUCUGAUUUCUUUUGGUUUGCAGGAGAUAAAAAUUCAAGUUUAAAUCCCGCCUUGACAAUUUUUGUUAGGUCAAAAUCCUCCCAAAUUGACCCCUUCUUCAUCGAUUUCUGAACGGCCUUGGGACGACUUCGUGGAACCCAGUGCCUCCUCCCAUUCCUGAAACUUCGUAGCUCCCGUAGUUGCUUCCUCAUUCAGCUUCCCCAGCUAUUCAUGAUGGGCAAUUUCCUCAACUACAGUUGUGUUAUGAGAUACCAUUUCAACAAUUUCUUUUGCCCCACCUUUGUCGGUUACCGAACUAGAGCUUUCACGUUCCUUACAAAACAUCUAUUUAAGUUAUCCG